rnacentral:rRNA from 1 species
CCCGCACAAGCAGCGGAGCGUGUGGUUUAAUUCGAUGCAACGCGAAGAACCUUACCAAGGCUUGACAUGCUAGAAGUAGAACCUUGAAAGAGUGACGACCUGUAUCCAAUCAGGAGCUAGUACAGGUGCUGCAUGGCUGUCGUCAACUCGUGCCGUGAGGUGUUAGGUUAAGUCCUGCAACGAGCGCAACCCUUGUCGUUAGUUAAAUUUUCUCUAGCGAGACUGCCCUUUAUUGGGAGGAAGGUGAGGAUGACGUCAAGUCAGCAUGGCCUUUAUGCCUUGGGCUACACACACGCUACAAUGGGUGAUACAGAGGGUCGCUAUAGAGCAAUCUGGAGCUAAUCCCUAAAAUCAUCCUCAGUUCAGAUUGCAGGCUGAAACCGCCUGCAUGAAGGAGGAGUUGCUAGUAACCGCAGGUCAGCACACUGCGGUGAAUACGUUCUCGGGUCUU